rnacentral:rRNA from 1 species
CGCCUGCCCUGUGACAAAGGUUUAACGGCCGCGGUAUUUUGACCGUGCAAAGGUAGCGCAAUCACUUGUCCUUUAAAUGAAGACCUGUAUGAAUGGCAUCACGAGGGCUUAACUGUCUCCUUUUUCCAGUCAAUGAAAUUGAUCCCCCCGUGCAGAAGCGGGGAUAAAACCAUAAGACGAGAAGACCCUAUGAAGCUUUAGACACAAAACAGAUCUUGUUAAACACUUCAAAAUAAAGAAACAAACUAAAAGAAUGCUGUCCUGAUGUCUUUGGUUGGGGCGACCACGGGGAAACGAAAAACCCCCAUGCGGACUGAGAAAACAAUUUCUCACAACCAAGAGCCACAGCUCUAGUUAACAGAAUUUCUGACCUUUAGAUCCGGCAAUGCCGAUCAACGGACCGAGUUACUCUAGGGAUAACAGCGCAAUCCUCUUUUAGAGUUCCUAUCGACAAGAGGGUUUACGACCUCGAUGUUGGAUCAGGACAUCCUAAUGGUGCAGCAGCUAUUAAGGGUUCGUUUGUUCAACGAUUAAAGUCCU